UUAGGUUAUAAGUAUAGGUUUUGGGAUUUGAGAAUAGGUUUAGGUUAUAAGUAUAGGUUUAGGUUGGGUUAUAGGUUAUACGUAUAGGUUUUGGGAUUUAAGAAUAGGUUUAGGUUAUACGUAUAAGUUUAGGUUGGGUUAUAGGUUAAGGUUUAGGGAUUUGAGUUUAGGUUAAGGUUUAGGUUUAGGUUAUAAGUAUAGGUUUUGGGAUUUGAGAAUAGGUUUAGGUUAUAAGUAUAGGUUUAGGUUGGGUUAUAGGUUAAGGUUUAGGGAUUUGAGUUUAGGUUAAGGUUAUAAGUAUAGGUUUUGGGGUUUGAGAAUAGGUUUAGGUUUUACGUAUAGGUUUAGGUUGGGGUAUAGGUAAAGGUUUAGGGAUUUGAGUUUAGGUUAAGGUUUAGAUUUAGGUUAUAAGUAUAGGUUUUGGGAUUUGAGAAUAGGUUUAGGUUAUAUGUAUAGGUU